UAUUUUUGCUAGAAAAAGAGGAGGAGAAAUAACAAGCAAGUGUCUCAGAGCUGGCAAAAGCUUUGAAAAGAGUGACUGUUUAUCUCACAUAGUAAGAUGCAGCCUGUA